UACGUAGGGUGCGAGCGUUGCCCGGAUUUAUUGGGCGUAAAGGGCGCGCAGGCGGUACGGCACGUCCGUUGUGAAAUCGCUCGGCUCAACUGGGCGGGGUCAGCGGAUACGGCCGCACUUGAGCAAGCUAGGGGGCAAUGGAAUUCCCGGUGUAGUGGUGGAAUGCGUAGAUAUCGGGAGGAACACCAGUGGCGAAGGCGACUACCUGGCCUGUUCUUGACGCUGAGGCGCGAAAGCUAGGGGAGCAAACGGG
rnacentral:rRNA from 1 species